rnacentral:rRNA from 1 species
GAUGAACGCUGGCGGCGUGCCUAAUACAUGCAAGUCGAGCGAACAGACGAGGAGCUUGCUCCUCUGACGUUAGCGGCGGACGGGUGAGUAACACGUGGAUAACCUACCUAUAAGACCGGGAUAACUUCGGGAAACCGGAGCUAAUACCGGAUAAUAUAUUGAACCGCAUGGUUCAAUAGUGAAAGACGGUUUUGCUGUCACUUAUAGAUGGAUCCGCGCCGCAUUAGCUAGUUGGUAAGGUAACGGCUUACCAAGGCAACGAUGCGUAGCCGACCUGAGAGGGUGAUAGGCCACACUGGAACUGAGACACGGUCAAGACUCCUACGGGAGGCAGCAGUAGGGAAUCUUCCGCAAAGGGCGAAAGCCUGACGGAGAAACGCCGCGUGAGAGAUGACGGUCUUCGGAUCGUAAAACUCUGUUAUUAGGGAAGAACAAAUGUGUAAGUAACUAAGCACGUCUUGACGGUACCUAAUCAGAAAGCCACGGCUAACUACGUG